AUUGAACGCUGGCGGCAGGCCUAACACAUGCAAGUCGAACGGUAACAGGGAUCAGCUUGCUGAUUCGCUGACGAGUGGCGGACGGGUGAGUAAUGUCUGGGAAACUGCCUGAUGGAGGGGGAUAACUACUGGAAACGGUAGCUAAUACCGCAUAACGUCGCAAGACCAAAGAGGGGGACCUUCGGGACUCUUGCCAUCGGAUGUGCCCAGAUGGGAUUAGCUAGUAGGUGGGGUAACGGCUCACCUAGGCGACGAUCCCUAGCUGGUCUGAGAGGAUGACCAGCCACACUGGAACUGAGACACGGUCCAGACUCCUACGGGAGGCAGCAGUGGGGAAUAUUGCACAAUGGGCGCAAGCCUGAUGCAGCCAUGCCGCGUGUAUGAAGAAGGCCUUCGGGUUGUAAAGUACUUUCAGCGGGGAGGAAGGGAGUAAAGUUAAUACCUUUGCUCAUUGACGUUACCCGCAGAAGAAGCACCGGCUAGCUCCGUG
rnacentral:rRNA from 1 species